rnacentral:misc_RNA from 1 species
UAUAUAUAUAUAUAUAUAUAUCUGCCACUUAAUUGGAUAACGUUAGUGGGACCUUCAAAAUCUGUCAUUCAGAGGCUGUCACAUAACAUAAUUGUGAUUACUUAAAUCCACUUAAAACCCUCGAUUCCAACUUGGAGAUCCCAGGUUAACACCACAUGGGGAUUGAAGUGGGGAGUUUACUUGAUGACAGAACAGAGGGCUAUCCACCAUCUUGCAUCCCAAUGCUGCUUGCCUUCCAAAAGAAGUAAGUGGGAGAAAGGGAGGAAGGAAAUGAAAAAGAAUGUCAUUUUGUCUAAAAGUAUCCCAUCCUCAAAAAUGUUGAUUAUUGCUGAUAGUUACCU